rnacentral:misc_RNA from 1 species
GUUUGAUAUGGUGGUCUAGUGACUUUGAGACAAAAUCAGCAUCCUCAACUUCAUGGGAAUCCACUUCUGUUCUUCAAUCUGAUGGGAUGUUUCAAGAUUAUGAAUUGACUUACAAUAUGUAAUCGAAUCAGAGGAAAGAAAAAAAAGGAAAAGAAAGGAAUUAGAGAGCUGUUUUAAGUCUAUUGUGAUGGUCAUAAGAUGAUGAUGAGGAAGAGAUCCAAGUUGGACA